rnacentral:rRNA from 1 species
ACGAACGCUGGCGGCUGCCUAAUACAUGCAAGUCGAACAGCGGCGGACGGGUGAGUAACGCGUGAGCAACCUGCCCAUGACAGUGGGAUAGCCUCGGGAAACCGGGAUUAAUACCGCAUAGUCAUAGACGGUCUGGCGUCUGAUUAGCUAGUUGGUGAGAUAACAGCCCACCAAGGCGACGAUCAGUAGCCGGUCUGAGAAGAUGAACCGCCACAUUGGAUAUGAGACACGGUCCAAGCUCCUACAGGAGGCAGCAAUGGGGAAUAUUGCACAAUGGGGGAAACCCUGAUGCAGCGACGCCGCGUGAACGAAGAAGGUAUUCGUAUCGUAAAGUGCUGUCCUAUGGAAAGCAGUACCAUAGGCGAAAGCUCCGGCUAAAUACGUGCCAGCAGCCGCGGUAAUUC